AUUGAACGCUGGCGGCAUGCCUUACACAUGCAAGUCGAACGGUAACAGGUCUUCGGAUGCUGACGAGUGGCGAACGGGUGAGUAAUACAUCGGAACGUGCCCGAUCGUGGGGGAUAACGAAGCGAAAGCUUUGCUAAUACCGCAUACGAUCUACGGAUGAACGCAGGGGACCGCAAGGCCUUGCGCGAACGGAGCGGCCGAUGGCCGAUUAGGUUGUUGGUGGGAUAAAAGCUUACCAAGCCGACGAUCUGUAGCUGGUCUGAGAGGACGACCAGCCACACUGGGACUGAGACACGGCCCAGACUACUACGGGAGGCAGCAGUGGGGAAUGUUGGACAAUGGGCGAAAGCCUGAUCCAGCCAUGCCGCGUGCAGGAUGAAGGCCUUCGGGUUGUAAACUGCUUUUGUACGGAACGAAAAGACUCUGGUUAAUACCUGGGGUCCAUGACGGUACCGUAAGAAUAAGCACCGGCUAACUACGUG
rnacentral:rRNA from 1 species